rnacentral:lncRNA from 1 species
GCCCAACUCCUGAGAUGUCAUCGGGAAGCUGCUGAUCAGCAAUUACAGAGAUGCUCUUCUCACCUCUCAUUCGGAAUCUACUCUCAAUUAUAUAUAAGACGCACCACCUGUCUUCCACAUUAUGAUGCGAAGCUGAAGAUUCACCCCACUAGGUCAAUGGGGACACUAAUUGGGGAAUAUUUGAGGUGCAGAGAGGAGAACACAGCAAGCAGUCACCGUCUAUGAACUAGAAAGCUGAUUCACCAGACACCGAAUCUGCCAGCACCUUGGUCUUGGACUUCCCAGCCUCCAGAACUAGGAAAUGUUCCAACACAUCUGAGGAAACACAUGCCUUCCCAGACUGGCCUGUUGCUGUUUCCCAGGAGCUGCAUUCUGGAAGGUGGACCAUCAGGUGGAAGAAGUAUUCUUCAGAGAGCUGCCUUCCCAAGGGAAUGGUGACAGCUUGCGCUUGCCGGGGAGUCCUGCUGCCUUCCGAGGUGUGAAGGGAAGGCAUGCACUGUGCAUAUGCUGUACCAUACAGUUUUGCCUACAACUGCUUGUAGCUUCAUUGUAGCUGUGAAUGCUCCGUUCCUCUCCUUUUCACCCCUGAAGAUUCGCGAACAUGCAGGAUUGAGCUGUGCGAGGCAUAGCAUUCCCCACAUGGUAGACGAAGGCGGAUGUGGGUCUGAUGGCUCUACUGCCGUCCACCCGGGAGGAUGGACGUGUGUUCCGGGAUAUCAGAGCUUGCGGCUGACCAGCCCACAUGUCCAUGCAGCCCUCCCGCUGGCUGUGUCGACAUUUUGGGUGUCACUGAAGGAUUUUACUGGUGCAGACUUUACAAAGGCAAAAUUGUUUCUCAAGGAAGUGGACAUGAAAGAUCUAAAAUCAGGGCUGCUUAAAAAAAGCAAGCACAGAUUAAUGACCUAUCUACAUCCUACACGGUUUUAGGACUGCGCCUAGAUGGGCUUAAAGACCCUAGCCUAAAAACUGUAAAUGUGCUUCCGUCUUUGCCCUGUAGGACAAGAAAGCCUUACGGGCUUGCUUCUAACUGUGAGAGGAGGAGAGGCCAGGAAGGGAGAGGGAGAAAAGGAGGAGAACAGGAGACGAGAAGGAGGGGAGAGUGAGGAGAGGAGGAGAGAGGCUUGUCAAAAUCUUUUUAGUGCACAAAACUAAUUUUGUUCAUCUUGGAUUUGGUGAGCUGGGUAAUAUUCUGUGCACGGCUCCUAAAUGAAUUAUUAAAUGUCAACUCAAGAUGGCUUAACUAAAAUACUCAAUUUAAUAACCAAAAGUAUCUAAGGUAACAACAACAAUUUUGCAGGUGAUUGUAGAGUUGUCAAGUCAAACCAUUAUAGACAAGCAUUUGGGGUUUUCACAUAAUCUCCUUCCACAUCUCAUCUUCUGUCACUAAAUACCCACUCUGGUGAGCAUAUUCCAUUUCAAUAAAGAUCAUCGCUUC